CCUAUCAGGUAGUUGGCGGGGUAAGAGCCCACCAAGCCUAAGACGGGUAGCUGGUCUGAGAGGAUGAUCAGCCACACUGGAACUGAGACACGGUCCAGACUCCUACGGGAGGCAGCAGUGGGGAAUCUUGCACAAUGGGCGAAAGCCUGAUGCAGCAACGCCGCGUGCGGGAAGAAGGCCCUAGGGUUGUAAACCGCUUUCAGCAGGGAAGAAAAUGACGGUACCUGUAGAAGAAGGUGCGGCCAACUACGUGCCAGCAGCCGCGGUAAU
rnacentral:rRNA from 1 species